AACGAACGCUGGCGGCAUGCCUAACACAUGCAAGUCGAACGAGAUCUUCGGGUCUAGUGGCGCACGGGUGCGUAACGCGUGGGGAUCUGCCCUUUGGUUCGGAAUAACAGGUGGAAACGACUGCUAAUACCGGAUGAUGACGAAAGUCCAAAGAUUUAUCGCCAGAGGAUGAGCCCACGUAGGAUUAGCUAGUUGGUGUGGUAAAGGCGCACCUAGGCGACGAUCCUUAGCUGGUCCGAGAGGAUGAUCAGCCACACAGGGACUGAGACACGGCCCAGACUCCUACGGGAGGCAGCAGUGGGGAAUAUUGGACAAUGGGCGAAAGCCUGAUCCAGCAAUGCCGCGUGAGUGAUGAAGGCCUUAGGGUUGUAAAGCUCUUUUACCCAGGAUGAUAAUGACAGUACCGGGAGAAUAAGCUCCGGCUAACUCCGUGCCAGCCGCCGCGGUAA
rnacentral:rRNA from 1 species